GGCGCUGCCCGAGGAGCGGCUCUUCGGCAUCCUGCCCAACUGCGGCCACGCGUUCUGCCUGGGCUGCAUCCGCCAGUGGCGCCGCAGCCGGGACUUCGAGGCCUCCAUCAUCAAGGCCUGCCCGGAGUGCCGUGUCACAUCUAGCUACUACAUCCCGCACAAAUAUUGGGUCACGGAGGCAGAUGAGAAGGAGAAGCUGAUCGAGACCUUCAAGGCGCGGACGGGGAAAAUCCGGUGCAAGUUUUUUGUGCGGAACCGCGGGCGCUGCCCAUUCAAGUCGGACUGCAUCUACCUCCACGAGCUCCCAGCUGGCUGGA